UACAGAGGGGGCAAGCGUUGUUCGGAAUUACUGGGCGUAAAGGGCGCGUAGGCGGCCUUCUAAGUCGAACGUGAAAUCCCCGGGCUCAACCCGGGAACUGCGUCCGAUACUGGAAGGCUUGAGUCCGGGAGAGGGAUGCGGAAUUCCAGGUGUAGCGGUGAAAUGCGUAGAUAUCUGGAGGAACACCGGUGGCGAAGGCGGCAUCCUGGACCAAUUCUGACGCUGAGGAGCGAAAGCCAGGGGAGCAAACGGG
rnacentral:rRNA from 1 species